GUUUCCGUGGUAGUGUAGUGGGAGCAUCAUGUUCGCCUAACACGCGAAAGGUCCCUGGUUCAAAACCGAAGAAACA